rnacentral:rRNA from 1 species
UCCGUAGCCUGUUUGAUAAGUUCCUGGUUAAAUCUAGUGGCUUAACCAUUAAUUAGCUAGGAAUACUGUCUUACUAGAGGGUGGGAAAGGUCUGAGGUACUCCAGGGGUAGCGGUGAAAUGCGAUAAUCCUUGGGGGACCACCAGUGGCGAAGGCGUCAGACUGGAACACGCCUGACGGUGAGGGACGAAAGCUAGGGGAGCGAACAGGAUUAGAUACCCUGGUAGUCC